AUUGAACGCUGGCGGCAGGCCUAACACAUGCAAGUCGAACGAGCGGCGGACGGGUGAGUAAUAUAUGGGGACUGCCCGGUAGAGGGGGAUAACUCCUGGAAACGGUAGCUCAUACCGCAUACUAUCGGAUAACCCAUAUGGGAUUAGAUGGUGGGUGGGGUAAUGGCUCACCUAGGCGACGAUCCCUAGCUGGUCUGAGAGGAUGAUCAGCCACACUGGGACUGAGACACGGCCCAGACUCCUACGGAGGCAGCAGGGGGGAAUAUUGCACAAUGGGCGCAAGCCUGAUGCAGCCAUGCCGCGUGUAUGAAGAAGGCCCUAGGGUUGUAAAGUACUUUCAGUCGGGAGGCGUUACCGACAGAAGAAGCACCGGCUAACUCCGUGCCAGCAGCCGCGGUAAUUC
rnacentral:rRNA from 1 species